GUUUGGCCUUUGUACGCAGCUAUGAGAAGGCGCUCUGAAAGUGCAGCGACCGCAUCUUGCUGGCUCAUGAAUUAGGAAAGAAAGGUUUUCAGGGAAGCGGUAGACAAGUUCCUUCAGCUCAACACGAAGUCACUGGCCCGGCCUGGCACCCACAGCUUCCAGAACACGUCCUCCUGAGAAGAUCUACUCCCACAGGUAGGCCCCUUAACACAGUACUACCCAUGAGGACACUCAGCACUGACUGCUCACGGAACCUGGUGCCCACCAGGACUAUUUGCGAAAGAAGGGAAAUGACAGGGUGGACACGCUCUGCUUUAGCAAGCCCAUGACUCAUUAUAAAUACACCCCACUGUCACAAAGAAACAAGUAUGUUUAUUUCUUGAGCCAUUUAAAGCACAAUAACUCUCUUCUGCUAACUCUGUCACUGAAUCUUUUGAAAUAACCACCUCUGCAGGAGGCAUAGAGGCUGUUACAGUGAAAGCUGAGUGACAUCUGAAUAUUAUUCACGAAACCUGUGACAUACCCUUCCAAGAAAAGCUGCUUACAGAUGUAAAAAUCACAUAGGAGGAAUAAGCACAUAUCACCGAAUAAAGAUGUGACUGACAGAAGGCUUGGGAGGUAGAGACCUCCCCUUUUCAUGCAGGACAAUAACUUAUUGACUGACCAGCACUGCUAGACCACCAGAGCCUCCAAGGCAGGGCUGGGCACUCCCAUCACUUGGCAAAUGACCAUGUACAUGCUCAAAGUUCAGACCAAGUGUUAUCUCUGCUAAGCCUUCUGCUGUCCCUGCCUUGCCCUAGACAAGAUG
rnacentral:antisense_RNA from 1 species